GUAGGUGGCAAGCGUUGUCCGGAAUUAUUGGGCGUAAAGCGCGCGCAGGCGGGGUCCUUUAAGUCUGAUGUGAAAGCCCACGGGCUCAACCGUGGAGGGUCAUUGGAAACUGGGGGACUUGAGUACAGAAGAGGAAAGCGGAAUUCCAAGUGUAGCGGUGAAAUGCGUAGAGAUUUGGAGGAACACCAGUGGCGAAGGCGGCUUUCUGGUCUGUAACUGACGCUGAGGCGCGAAAGCGUGGGGAGCAAACAGGAUUAGAUACCCUGGUAGUCCACGCCGUAAACGAUGAGUGCUAAGUGUUAGGGGGUUUCCGCCCCUUAGUGCUGCAGCUAGCGCAUUAAGCACUCCGCCUGGGGAGUACGGCCGCAAGGCUG
rnacentral:rRNA from 1 species